AGAGUUUGAUCCUGGCUCAGAUUGAACGCUGGCGGCGUGCUUAACACAUGCAAGUCGUGCGAGAAAGGGGGCUUCGGUCCCUGAGUAGAGCGGCGCACGGGUGAGUAGCGCGUGGAUAAUCUCCCCAGAAGUUCGGGAUAACGGCGGGAAACUGCCGCUAAUACCGGAUACGCUCCAAUUUCGGUUGGGGGAAAGGCGGCCUCUGUUUACAAGCUGUCGCUUCUGGAUGAGUCCGCGUCCCAUUAGCUUGUUGGUGGGGUAAUGGCCUACUAAGGCUACGAUGGGUAGCUGGUCUGAGAGGAUGAUCAGCCACACUGGAACUGAAACACGGUCCAGACUCCUACGGGAGGCAGCAGUGGGGAAUAUUGCGCAAUGGGGGAAACCCUGACGCAGCGACGCCGUGUGAGGGAUGAAGGCUUUCGGGUCGUAAACCUCUGUCGGGAGGGAAGAACCUUCCAGGCC
rnacentral:rRNA from 1 species